CACGUACUCCCUCCGUUCCAAAUCACUCGUCGCAGAAAUGGAUGUAUCUAGAACUAAAAUACAUCUAGAUACAUCCAUACCUGCGACAAGUAAUUUGGAACGGAGGGAGUAUUUG
rfam:Triticum urartu cultivar G1812 contig1156412, whole genome shotgun sequence.